GGGGAAUAUUGCACAAUGGGCGCAAGCCUGAUGCAGCGACGCCGCGUGAGGGAUGGAGGCCUUCGGGUUGUAAACCUCUUUCGCCAGUGAAGCAGGCCUGCUCCUUGUGGGUGGGUUGACGGUAGCUGGAUAAGAAGCGCCGGCUAACUACGUGCCAGCAGCCGCGGUAAUACGUAGGGCGCGAGCGUUGUCCGGAAUUAUUGGGCGUAAAGAGCUCGUAGGCGGCUGGUCGCGUCUGUCGUGAAAUCCUCUGGCUUAACUGGGGGCUUGCGGUGGGUACGGGCCGGCUUGAGUGCGGUAGGGGAGACUGGAACUCCUGGUGUAGCGGUGGAAUGCGCAGAUAUCAGGAAGAACACCGGUGGCGAAGGCGGGUCUCUGGGCCGUUACUGACGCUGAGGAGCGAAAGCGUGGGGAGCGAACAGGAUUAGAUACCCUGGUAGUCCACGCUGUAAACGUUGGGCACUAGGUGUGGGGGCCACCCGUGGUUUCUGCGCCGUAGCUAACGCUUUAAGUGCCCCGCCUGGGGAGUACGGCCGCAAGGCUA
rnacentral:rRNA from 1 species